GUGCCAGCAGCCGCGGUAAUACCGGUGGCUCGAGUGGUGACCGCUAUUAUUGGGUCUAAAGGGUCCGUAGCCGGCCUGAUAAGUUACCUGGGAAAUCGGUGGCCUAACCAUCGGCGGCCAGGUAAUACUAUCAGGCUCGGGACUAGGAGAGACCAGAGGUACUCAUGAGGUAGGAGUGAAAUCCUGUAAUCUUAUGAGGACCACCAGUGGUGAAGACGUCUGGUUAGAAUAGGUCCGACGGUGAGGGACGAAGGCUGGGGGCGCAAACCGGAUUAGAUACCCGGGUAGUCCCAGCAGUAAACGAUGCCAGCUAUGUGUUGCUGGAACCAUGGGUUCCAGCAGUGCCGAAGGGAAGCCGUGAAGCUGGCCACCUGGGAAGUACGGUCGCAAGGCUGAAACUUAAAGGAAUUGGCGGGGGAGUACCACAACCGGUGGAGCCUGCGGUUUAAUUUGAUACAACGCCGGGAAUCUUACCGGAGGGGACAGCAGUAUGAAGGCCAGGCUAAAGACCUUGCCAGAUCAGCUGAGAGGAGGUGCAUGGCCGUCGCCAGUUCGUACCGUGAGGCAUCCUGUUUAGUCAGGCAACGAUCGAGACCCGCAGUCUUAUUUGC
rnacentral:rRNA from 1 species